rnacentral:rRNA from 1 species
UACGAAGGGGGCUAGCGUUGCUCGGAAUUACUGGGCGCAAAGGGAGCGUAGGCGGAUAGUUUAGUCAGAGGUGAAAGCCCAGGGCUCAACCUUGGAACUGCCUUUGAUACUGGCUAUCUUGAGUAUGGGAGAGGUGAGUGGAACUCCGAGUGUAGAGGUGAAAUUCGUAGAUAUUCGGAAGAACACCAGUGGCGAAGGCGACUCACUGGCCCAUUACUGACGCUGAGGCUCGAAAGCGUGGGGAGCAAACAGG